rnacentral:lncRNA from 1 species
UCAGCAUCCCAGCUCCUGUAAUGAUGCUACCAACAUCUCACCAUCUAGGAGCAGAUGGAACGAGACUUCAGGCUGUACUGAAGACCGGGCACUCUCCAGGAUACGACCAAGCAUCGGGGCAGAAAAACACUGCUUCUUUUGACUCUGAAAACAGGGCUGAGGUGAAAGGAUCCUUCAGUGAUAUUGGGUCACUGAAGGCUUUCCCAGACACACAGGAAAACAGCAGAAACAGAGGCUGAUAACAGAAUUGAAGUUUAUCCCAAAAGUAAAGUCCUAUUGAAAUUUUC